AAGGUCUUCCAUCCACUGGUUCACUCCUCAAAUGUCCUCAAUGGCCAGAGCUGAGCCAAUACGAAGCCAGAAGCCAAGAGCCUCCUCCGGGUCUCCCAUGUAGGUGCAGGGGCCCAAGCACCUGGGCCAUCCUCUACUGCCUUCCCAGGCCACAAGCAGAGAGCUGGAUUAAAGAGGAGAAGCUGGGACUCAAACCUGCACCCACAUGGGAUGCCAGUGACGCAGGCAGAGGCUUAGCCUACCACACCAUGAUAGCAUCGGCCCCCAAAACUUUCUUCUAAGAUCCAAAUUCAUAUAUACAGUUUUGUUCCAUGUGGACCUUCAGCGACUUGGGUUUAUUUCACUUUGUGUCUUCUCUUUCCCCCAAAAGAAUUAUUCUAAACCUUAAACAUACAUUAGAAUCUCUUGGGUCUUCUGAAAACAUUGCUAGUUGCUGGGCCCUAUCUUUGAGCUCCUGAAUCAAUUGGUUUGGAUUAGAGGCUUAAGAAUCUGCACUUAUAACAUGUUUCUGGAUGAUGUUGCUGCUGAUGAUCUGACACUCUGAGACAAAUUUCCUAGAUUGUUUUCUUCAAAUGAAAGUCCAAAGCUGAAUCUCUGCCCCAAAGGGAGUAAACCCAGUGUGGAUCUCCAAACUAUGAGUGGAAAUAAACCUCCUUUUUUCAUAAGUAGCGUGUCUUAGGUUUUUAGUUAUAGUAACAAAAAGCUAACUCAGACAUAAAGCUAAGUUAAAAUAAGAGGAUACUUCUAAAAAGGAAGUAUAGAAAAUGAACAUUUUAAUUUACUUUUUACGUGAACACUUCAAAGCCAUCAUCAACAUAUUCAAUGAGUUAAACUCAACUCAAAACUAAGUAUUAUAACUGUUAUUUAAAUACCAAUUUAUAUUUGCAUCUGAAAAUAUGGUUCAAGAGGAACAAGUAGGGGUCUCUUCUACUUAACCCAUUGGCAAUUUUAGAUCCUUAAAGCAAUUCUCUAAACAAAGCUCUUAGACAACUCCCCUCCCUUGAAGGAGGGUGAAAUUGCUUGCCCUUCCCUCCCAGGCCAUUGCCACACAGUCUUACUUGGUGUAGGACAUGAGGAGCCAUUUGUCUCAUUGUAUUGCAAUGGGAGGAGGCUUAUGAUGUGGUCACCAUGUCUUGGUGGGCUUUUUCCUGUACUUCCUUCCCAUAGUCCUUCUGCUUGUAUAUUCUAACCCUUAAAAACUCUGCUCUUUCCUUGCUUUUCACCCCUGGCUUAAGGCAUAUGUUUUUUCUUUCUUUCUGUAAUCAAUAUAGAAGUUUAUCUCUAGUUCAAGGCAUUGGUUUGGAGUUGAUAUCACUUACUUUCAUAUCCUCCUGAGGCUCAAGUUGGUGGCCUCCAAGCAUUCCACUUAAUUCUUUCAAUAAACUUCCAUUAAACAUUGAGUAAGGGGCCGGCGCUGUGGCGUAGUGGGUUAAGCCGCCGCCUGGAAUGCCGGCACCCCAUAUGGGUGAUGGUUCGAGACCCGGCUGCUCCACUUCCGAUAUGGCUCUCUGCUAUGGCCUGGGAAAGCAGUAGAUGGCUCGAGUCCUUGGGCCCCUGCACCUGCAUGGGAGACCUGGAAGAAGCUCCUGGCUCCUGGCUUCAGAUUGGUGCAGCUCCGGCUGUUGCAGCCAGUUGGGGAGUGAACCAGCAGAUGGAAGACCUCUCUUUCUCUCUCUGCUUCUCCUUCUCACUGUGUGUGUAACUCUGACUUUCAAAUAAAUGAAUAAAUCUUUUUUAAAAAAUUGAGUAAGUGACAGGCACUAUGCCAGAAGCUAAAAUGUCUGUGAAAAUGGUGCUUGUCAAACUGUAACAUGGAUAGCAAAGAUUUGUACAUUUUGUUUAAAAUACAGAUGUGAAUGUGGAAGUUCUAGGACAGGGCUUAAGGGUCUCUAUUUCUUUUUAAAAUUAUUUUAAUUUAUAAAUUUCCAAUACACAUGCACCACUUUUACAUGUUUAUGGGACACAGUACAAUAUUUCAACACACAUACACAGUGUAAAUAAAUCAAACAAGGCAACUGGGCUUCCAUUUCCUUAUUUUUUCUUUCUGUUUCAAGUCUACUAACUCCUCUCUUCCAAUUAUUUAUUUAGAUAUUAUAUUGUGAACUCUAGUUACCCCCCUGUGCUAUGGAACACUAGAACUGGUUACUUCUAUCUGACUGUAAUUUGGCACCAAGUAUCCAACUUCCCACUAUGUCACCUCCCUCAACCUUGCCCAACCUUUAGUAAUCAUUAUUCUUAGUUAGAUCAAGUACUUUUUAAAGCUUCCUUAUAAGAGGGAACAUGUGAUAACUGUCUUUCUGUAUUUGGCUUAUUUCACUGAAUAUAUUGACCUCCAUUUCUAACUGUUUUUUUUUUUUUUUGAGAACAUCAGGGUUUCCUUCUCUUUCAUGGCUGAAUAAUAUUCCACUAUGUGUAGAUACCAUAUUUUCUUUAACCAUUCAUCAGUCAGUAGAUAUCCAAGUUUGCUCCAGAUCUUGGCUUUUGUAGAUAAUGUUGCAGCAAAUACAGGAAUGCAAGUUAUCUCUUUCAUAUGCUCAUUUCAUUUCCUUCAGCUAUACAACUAGAAGUGGGAUAUCUGGGUCAUAGGACAGAUCUAUUUUUAUUUUUUUGUAGAACCUCCAUGUUUUGCAUACCAACUGUGUCUAACGAUUGCCUUUUUUCCACACACACUCACUGAUGUAUUUUAUUUUUUGUCUUUUUUUGUAGUAGCCAUUCUAACUGGAAUGUAAUGAUAUCUUUGUGAUUUUGAUUUUUAUAUCUUUAAUGACUAGUGAUGUUGAGUGUUUUUCAUGUAUUCAUUGAUCAUUGUAUUUUUUCUGAGAAAUUUGUAUGCAGAUCCUUUACCCAUUUCUUAACUGAAUUGUGGGUGUUUUUUUUAGUUCCUUAUAUAUUCUGGAUAUUAAUCCUUUAACAGAUACAUUGUUUGAAAAUAUUUUUCUCCCAUUCUGUUGGUUGCCUUUUCACUCUAUUGAUUUGUUUCAAUCGAACCUUCCUAAUUGAAUAUAACCUCAUUUGUCUAUUUUUACUUUUGUUACCUAUGCUUUUGGGGUUUUUUUAUUUAAAAAAGUCAUAGUCUAUGGCAAUGUCUUACAGCAUUUGCCUCACACCCUCUUCAUAGUUUCACAUCUUACAUUUGGAUCUUUGAUCCGUUUUUGAGUUGAUUUUUGCACAGAGAGAUGGUAGAGGGGUCUUGUUUAAGUGUUCUGCAUAUGGAUAACCAGUUUUCCCACAUUUAUGGGAGAGACACUAUCCUCUUUCCAUUAUGUUGUUACUAUUUUUCCAAAGAUCACUUUGCUAUAGACAUGUAGAUUAAUUCCUGGGAUCUCUAAUCUGUUCUAUUGAUCUGUGUAUCUGUUUGUUUGGAGAAUAAUAGCUCUGCAGUAUGUCUUAAAAUUUGGUAGCAUGUUGCCUCCAGUUUUGUUCUUUCUGUUCAAGAUUGCUUUGACUAUUUGGUAUUGGCUGUGCUUCUACGGGAAUUUUAGGAUUUCCUUUUCUAGUUCUGUGAAGAAUGUCUGUUUUUUCAUUGGAAUUUCAUUGAAUCCACAAAUUGCUCUGGGUAUUAUGGACAUUUUAACAAUAUUAAUUCCUUCAGUCCAUGAACCUGGAAAGUCAUCUCACUUUUUAGUGUCUUAUUCAAAUUCUUUUAUCAGUGUUUCAUAAUUUUCACAUUCUUCAUUAACUUUAUUCUAUUAUUUUAUAUUUUGUAGUUAUCAUGAAGGAGAUUUUUUUUGACAGGCAGAGUGGACAGUGAGAGAGAGAGACAGAGAGAAAGGUCUUCCUUUUCCGUUGGUUCACCCCCCAAUGGCCGCCGCGGCUGGCACACCGCGCUGAUCCAAAGCCAGGAGCCAGGUGCUUCUCCUGGUCUCCCAUGCGGGUGCAAGGCCCAAGCACUUGGGCCAUCCUCCACUGCCUUCCCAGGCCACAGCAGAGAGCUGGACUGGAAGAGGAGCAACUGGGACAGAAUCCAGCACCCCGACCAGGACAAGAACCCGAUGUGCCGGCAGCGCAGGCAGAGGAUUAGCCUAGUGAGCCGCGGCGCUGGCCCAGAGAUUUCUCUUAUAAUGUAUUUCUUUGAGUCUGUUACUUACAUACAAAAAUACUACUGAUUUUUGUGUGUCGACUUUGUAUACUAUGACUCAAUUUGUUAUCAGUUCUAGUAGUUACUUGGUGGAGUCUUGAGUUUUUCUCUAUAUAAAAUUAUGCAAUCUGUACAUGGAUAAUUUGACUUCUCCUUUCCUAUUUGUAUGCCUUGUAUUCUUUCUCUUGCCUAAUGGCUCAAGCCAAAACCCCCAGUACUGUAUUCAAUAAGAGUGGUGAGAGUUGGCAUUGCUGUCUAGUUCCAGAUCUGAGAGAAAAUGCUUUCAGCUCUUCACCAUUAAUAUGUUAUUGGCAAUGGGGUUGUCGUAUAUGGCCCUUAUUAUGUUGAGAUAAGUUCCUUCAAUACCUAAUUUGUUCAAGAGGUUUUUUUUUUUAACAUGAAUUUUAUCAAAUGCUUUUUAUGCAUCUAUUGAGAAGAUCAUAUGAUUUUUAUUCUUCAUCCUGUUGACAUAAUGCAUUUUGUUUAUUGAUGUGCAUAUGUUGAAACAUCCCUGCAACCCUAGGAUAAAUCCCAAUUGAUAAAGAUGAAACAUUUUUCAUGUGUUGUUAGAUUUAAUUUACUAGUAUUUUGUUGAGAAUUUUGGUGCUGAUGUUCAAUAGGUAUGUUGCUCUAUAGUUUUCAUUUUUUGUUGUCCAGUUUUGAAAUCCAGGUAAUGCUAUUCAAACAGAAUGAGUUUGGAAAGAUUUUUUUCUUUUUGGAUUUCUGGAAUAGUUUGAGAACUAUUGUCAAUUCUUUCAAAGUUUGGCAAAAUUCAGUAGUGAAGUCAUUUAAUCCUUGGAUUUUCUAUAUUGUGAGACUUUUGAUCAUGAUUCAGUCUCAUAAUUUGUUACUGGUCUGUUCCAGUUUUGUCUGUCUUCUUGAUUCAAUUUUGGUAAACUAUGUGUAUCCAGAAAUUUACCCAGUUUUUCCAGGCUUUCCAAUUUUUUGGCAUGUACUUGUUCAUAAUUAGUCCCUCAUGAUCCUUGUGUUUCUGUAGUGUCGGUUAUAAUAUCUCUUCUUUCAUCUCUGAUUUUAUUUAUGUGAAUUUCCUCUUUUUUUUCUUGUUAGUUUAGCUAAAUUCUUUAUUUCCAAGAUCAUUGUUCGGUUCUUUUUCAAGAUCUCUAUUUUUUGCUGAUUUUUUAAAAGAUUUUGUAUUUAUUUAUUUGAGAGGCAGGAUUACAGACAGAGAGAGGAAGAGACAGAGAUAAAGGUUUCCAUCUGCUGGUUCACUCCCCAAAUGACCACAAUCACCCGAGCUGGGCCAACCUGAAUCCAGGAACCAGGAGCUUCUUCCGGGUCUCCCAUGUGGGUGCGGGGGCCCAAGCACUUGGGCCAUCUUCCACUGCUUUCCCAGGCAAUAAGAGCUGGAUCAGAAGAGGAGUAGCCAGGACACAAACCAGUGCUCAUAUGGGAUGCCAGUGCUACAGGGGAGGCUUAGCCUAGCCACAGCACCAGCCACCUGCUGAUUUUAAAAUUCAUAUCCUGUAUUGUUUUCCUUUGUUCAGCUGUCUUUAUUCUCUCAUUUCCCUCUGAGUACUCUUAUAAUCACUCUUUUGAAUUAUUUGUCAGGCAUUUCAUCAGUUUCCUUUCCCCUGGAUUCUGUUGCUGUUGCACUAUUUAUUGUGUUCUUUUGGGUGCAUCCUAUUGCCUUACUUUUUCAUAUGUCCUGUGUCCCUACAUUGGUAAUUGUGCAUUUGGGGGAUUAGCUGUUUCUAUCCUUUUAAUAUGUGGUUUUAAUGGUAAAAGGCUUUUUCCUGAAGAUACGUCUUUAAGUGUCAGUUUGGUAGGCUGUUUUGGCUUUAUUUGGAUGCUGCAGUAUAUAGUCUCCUCAUAUUUUCUUUCUUUUUUUAAAUAUUUAUUUAUUUAUUUAUUUGAAAGUCAGAGUUACACAGAGAGAGAAAGGAAAGGCAGAUGGAGAGGGAGAGAGAGGUCUUCCAUCCACGGAUUCACUCCCCAGUUGGCUGCAAUGGCCAGAGCUGCACCGAUCCGAAGCCAGGGGCCAAGAGCUUCUUACAGGUCUCCCAUGCAGGUGCAGGGGCCCAAUGAUUUGAGCCAUCUACUGCUUUCCCAGGCCAUAGCAGAGAGCUGGAUCAGAAGUAGGACAGCUGGAACAUGAACCGGCGCCCAUAUGGGAUGCCGGCAUUGCAGGCAGCGGCUUUACCUGCUAAGCCACAAUGCUGGCCCCUCCUCAUAUUUUCUUUCAAUUGCAAUUGCUGUCAGUGGCAGUGGGGCAUGAGUGUUCCUCUCAAACCCAUCUGGGGAUUAUGGAUCUGAACAGCAGCCCAUGAGGCAAAUUGCAGGAUUACAAGGGUGAUAGAUCUCAGUCCCCUGUGGCUAGGAUUGCAGAAAUCCCAGCCUAGAAUCCUAGAGGGGACCUUUGUUGGCAGGGUCAUGUUUGGGGUCAUGGUAGCACCACUUUAAAAUCUGACAGGGCAUAGAAGUACUCCUAGUUCUAGCCUCAGGUCUACACAAUGUCUUGGCAUUUCCCUGGCUUUUCUUCCCUCCCUCCUCCCCAGAUAAUUACUCUCUUGGUUUGAUGCUGCCUUGGGUUGAGGGAACAGAUUCACUUUUAUUUGAUGUUUUAGGUUCUAAUCAAGCCUCUCACUUAAGUGUCUUCAGUUCUCCAAACCCAGUGUGGUAUAUGUAGGGUCGAUGCCUACAUAUUAAAGACUGCCUGCUGCUGAGAUGGGCUUGCAGCCUGAGGCAGCUACAACCAACCACAGGUGAUGCUGGUCAAGAUAAAAGUCCAAUUGACUGGCCAGCGCCACAGCUCACUAGGCUAAUCCUCUGCCUACGGCGCUGGCACCCCAGGUCCUAGUACCGGUUGAGGCACUGGAUUCUGUCCCAGUUGCUCCUCUUCCAGUCCAGCUCUCUGCUGUGGCCCAGGAAGGCAGUGGAGGAUGGCCCAAGUGCUUGGGUCUCUGCACUCACAUGGGAGACCAGGAGGAGGCACCUGGCUUCUGGCUUUGGAUUGGCACAGUGCACUGGCCGUAGCAGCCAUUUGGGGGUGAACCAACGGAAAAGGAAGACCUUUGUCUGUCUCUCUCUCUCUCUCACACUCUAACUCUGCCUGAAAAAGAAAAAAAAAAGCCCAAUUGACUGGAACCAUGGGUCUUCACUCAGUAUUCGGCUGGUCCAGUGAUCACUCUAUUUUGUAUACGCUUAGUUGUGAUUUUACCAGAUCCAACAUGCAGUACUGUGCUCACCUUGGUGCUCUGCUCCCCAGUGGGUGGAGUCUUUUUCUUUGCUCUCUGUGAUUUGGGGACAGGUGGUAAGGCAAUCCUUUGUCCAUGGAGGCUGACAUUAAGCUGGGUCAGACCUGAGUUUCAUAGUCACUGGGCCCUGCACAGUCCCAGGAACAGAUUUACAUGAUGCUGGUAGUGAUACAGGCCAAAAGGAGUCUGUCCCAUGAACCACCAAGCUCUACCUGAUGCCAUCACUGAGCUUUCAACACAAAGGUCUAAGGUCAGUGUGCCAACCCACUUUCCAGUGACUGGAGUCCUGCUCUGCUGCCUGUUGAAGGUUAGGGAGGGAUGGUUCUCUGCAUAUGAGUGGGGGCAUGUUGGAGGAGAUUUGGUAUUCAAUAAUCCUGCUUUUGAACCUGCUUAAAUGUCUGUGCAAUGGUAACUGUGUCCCUGAAAGAGUUACUUAAACUCUUAAUUCAGCUCUUUCUUAUUUAGAUGAGAGAUUCACUUUUAUUUGAUGCGUUAGGUUCUGAUCAAGUCCCUCAGUCAAGUGUCUCAAAAUGCAAAUACAAAUUUUGGUUUUAUAAAAUCAGCUGGGUUUAGAAGUAAAUCUGAUCUCAAUAGGGAAUUGUAUCAUAUUGGGUUCCUUUUAUGCUGUCACUAUAAUUGAAUUGCCUUUUCACCAAAAAGAUUAUUUUGAACUCAUGGAAAAUGUCUUAAAAAAAUGACAAUGGAAGCCCAAAGGACAUUCAAUACAAAACCAAAUUAUUAAGGCAUUAAAGGAUCUAAGUUAAAUCCAUGAAGGCAAGAAAAUUCAAAGCAAGGUUUAUGGAAUGAAAUUCCUUCAGUUUCAUGACUCACUGCAUGCACAUGGCUGCUUCCUUAAACAUGUAGGAAGAAGAAGCAAUUAAAUCACCUCAUAGACAUAACCCCGUGGGUCUUUAAAUCAAUGGAGGAACUCAAAAUAUUGGUAAUAGAAACAGGAUCUUAGGGCAUGAGUUGAAUUUUUUUAAAUGAAGCUUUUCAUCAUUACUAUUCUCGCAUCUUUUCUUUGUUCUUGGUAUUUUCCUCAGCACAGUUCUCAAAAGCUAUCUUUUGGCCAUUAAAAUGAUACCACAAAAAAAUGAGAUUCCAUUUCAAGUGCCAUCACCAUCCAGUUCACCUCAUUACUACCUCCUGCUCCCAACCAUCGCUGCUCCCUGGAUUCUGUCUCAUCUUUCUUUUCUUUCUCUCUAUCAGCCCAUCUUUACAAAAAUAAUCUUCCUUUGUUCUUUAUACUUGGCCCCUCAUAAAACCUCAAAUACAGAACCAUAUCUUAUGUUACUGACUUCCCCAUAUCUCUCUGUAGUAUCCUCAUGGCAGUGCAUGGCUGUUUUCCACAUCCAUGUAUGCAGCUAUUCCAAUAUGAUGAGCCAUCAAAGGAGGUGCUCCUGAAUCAGUGGGUGGGGAGUAGCUUUUGUCUAUUUCAUCAGAUCAUUCGGAGGGCCUUGAACUUGCCAGUAAUGUGCUUCACUUUGAGCCCAAAAGCAAAUGCUUCCUUUAUCUUCCUCUAACAAGGUAAAGUAAAUAUUCAGGAAUCAGUUUCACUUGUAACUCUUCCAUAAGUCGCAGUAACCUCUGUCAGCUUCCCAGAUUCUCUUUCUAUGACAACUAGAGGGUGUUACUGCCUUGUGUAGGUGCCGACGAUUUCACAGAACAGCUGUAAGUGUUGAGAAAAACUCUCCUCUCAGUUGAGCUUGGCCACAUUUCUGAUUCAAUCAUGUACACAGCUUUGCAAUUCAGAAUAUCAGGCAAAAUUUUUUCUUUUCUCCUUUCCCUUUGAAAUCAAAAUAUUUUGUUAAUUGGUAAUUCCUCUUGUACAGUUUCAACCCAAGGUGUUAACCUUUCCUUCCCAGCUGUUAUCUAGGAUACAGAAACCUCUAGGAAGGUAGAAAACACAUCUAGAUUGUAUUUAUUUUAAUAUUAAAUCUGCAAGUUAACAGAAAUAUGCUAAUUAACUUUAUUACACACAACUUUCAGUUCUAUAUUCUUUCUCCACUAUGGUUCAAUUUAUUCAAAUGAGUUACUGCAAUGCAGUUCUGCAUCUUUUUCACAAGAUGGCACUACAAGUCUCUAGAUUUAUUAUCAAGCAGGGAAAUUCGAGUACAAUAGAUUCUAAAAUUUAUAGUUUAAAUUACAUAAAUUAUAGUUGAAUAUUAAAGGGAAUAUAAUAGCAGAAAACUAUAUGAUGAUCUAAUUUUCUUUAAGAUAUUUUAACUCCAUUUAAAAAAGUAAUAAGUGAAAAUCAGAAAGAAUUCAAGGAAAUUGUGUUUUUAUUUCUUCCUCGCUUUUAACAUAUAUUAAAUCAGGAAAACCUUUUUCUUCUUUAGAGUAAUAUGAUAUUUCUACCAGUACAGAUAUGCCAGAGUUCUCUUUGCUUCUAAUAUUUUUUUUCUAAUUUUUCUAAUAAUAUAGUAAAUGUUUACUUGGAGGAGAACCAUUUCUUCAUUACAAAUAUAUAAAAAUGUCAAAUUUUUUUUCAUUAAAUUUAUUCUGGGAAGGAAAUGGUAGGACUAUGAAUUCAAAUUGGUUUCUUAAUAUCGUCUUUGAGCAUGACUCUAUGAUCAGUAGAUGUUUUUCACAAGCAGAUACAAAUAAUGGAAACAAUGGGAGAAAGAAAAGAAAAGGUAAAGAAAUUGCCUAAUUAUUUAAAUUCCCCUAAGUUCAAGCCUUGGCAUAUACAUUUCAACUAACUCUAUAGCAUAAAAAUAAUAAACAAUUAUUUAGUUCUCUCUAUAUGCUGGACUUGAUGCUGUAUUCCUUAGAUUCUUUGAGAACUUAAUUCUCAAAGCUCUGUGGAUGGUCAGUGUUAUCAGCCAUAAUUUUUAUAGAAGGAACUAAUACUCAGCAAGAUCAUUCAUCCAAUCUUUUAUCUAUUCAAGAAGUGAUUGAUUAUUGAAUGCCUACUAUGUGACUUGAACAUUUCAGUAUAGAACAACUGGAAUUUAAACCCAAAGUCUGCUGAGACAAAAGCCCAAGACUCUUUCAUUUAACUACUGAAUUAUAAAGAAUCAGUUUCUCAGAUAAGCCUAUCAGACAAUUACAUAGUGAGAGAAAAAUCUUACUGUAAAAGGAGUAAGCAAAUUGACACACCGCCAUAAACCGCAUCAGUAUCUUCCUCUAUGCAUUUUCCAUAAUGUUAAUUUAAAGCUUCUCUUUGCAGGGUUCAUUUGGACAAAAUAUGAUGUAUACUUUGAAUACACAACUAUUUCACAACCAUUUAUUAGACACUUCAGAGUAAAAAUCACUUUUGUGGAAGAGAUGUAAGAGGACUGGAAUAGCUUCCUGUCAUAGUAGGCUAAGCAGAGGGGAAAUUUUCUAUAUACCUUCAACAACAACAAAAACACAGAAAUUUUAGAUGGAACAUUUUCAAUUAUUUUGAUAGUAUGUAGCCAAACUCAACAUGAGAAAAAUCUCCAGGUUACAUAAAUCAAGAAGUUUCAGUGUGAAAAGGAAUUAAAGCUGCCAUUGUUCAUGAAGUACUAGAAUACCAUAAUUGGAGCCCUAAUAUUUUGCAAAGAUAAGACUGAAGGUGCAGAACCUGUGCAAAUCAAGAACUUGAUUCCCUGCCUAAAAUGAGUAAUGAAGAAUUUUCCUGCCACGAGAUCAACAGACCUUAAACAAAGCCCAAACACAACCAUCUGCCUGCAGAUAUAGAAGAAACAGUACACAAAGAAGAGUGAAAUCCAUGCUAUAGUGAAACUAUCAAUAUUCACACUACCCACAUUAUGCAGAAAUCUCAAGUUAAAAAAUAAUAUGAUAGUUGAAAAUCUAAAUAGAGGCUUUGCCAAACCACCCUAAGAGAAGUCUCAGGAAAGAUAAUUCUUAUGGAAGAUGAAGUCACAAGCAGAAAAUAAAUGAGGAAGUUUAUUGGUAAAUAAGAGGUCUAACAAAGUAGAUAUUCCACAACUCUGAUAAUAGAGCAAGGUAAAGGAGAUUGUUUUUUAAAAUUAUCUAUUUAUUUAUUUAUUUUAAAUCCAGAACAGAGAAAGAGGAAGAGACACAGAAAGAGGUCUUCUGUCCUCUGGUUCAUUUUCCAAAUGCCUGCAAUAUCCACGUCUAGGCCAGGACAAAACCAGGAGCCAGGAACUCCAUCCUGGUCUCCCAGAUGGUGGCAAGCACCAGAGUGCUUGAGGUGUCUUCCACUGUCUUCCCAGAAGGAAGCAGUAAGCAGAGAAGCUGGGACUUGAACCAUAACUUCAAUAGGAGAUGCCAGUGUCACAAAUGGCAGGUUAACCCGCUGUGCCAUGACACCUGCCCCUGAAGGGGAUGUUAAUAUAAAUAUGCUUGAAACAAACAAAGAGACAGAAUUUAUUUUAAUGGACAAAACAUUAAAACUAAAAGAAGUUGUACCAUUUAUAAAUUUCAUAAAAGACACAACAAUCACUUAAAAAAAGAACAUCAACAAACUUCUUUUUUAAAAAAAUAUUUAUUUAUUUAUUUGAAAGUCAGAGUUACACAGAGAGAGAAGGAGAGGCAGAGAGAGAGAGAGAGAGAGAGAGAGGUGUCUUCUAUCCACUGGUUCACUCCCCAACUGGCCACAACGGCCCUAGCUAUGCUGAUCCGAAGCCAGGAGCCAGGAGCUUCUUCCCCAUCUCCCACAUGGAUGCAGGGUCCCAAGGACUUGGGCCAUCUUCUACUGCUUUCCCAGACCAUAGCAGAGAGCUGGAUCAGAACUGGAACAGCCCAGAUACCAACUGGUGCCCAUAUGGGAUACCGGCACUGCAGGUGGCGGCUUUAUCCGCUCUGCCACAGCACUGGCCCCCAGCAAACUUCUUAAAUAAUAGCUUGCAUACAGCGGGAAAAUAGUGAAUUGAAGGGGGCAGCACGGUGGCUUAGUAGGUUGAUCCUCUGCCUGUGGUCCUAGCAUCCCAUAUAGGCGCCAGUUCUAGUCCAGGUUGCUCCUCUUCCAGUCCAGCUCUCUGCUGUGGCCCAGGAGGGCAGUGGAGGAUGGCCCAAGUGCUUUGGUCCCUGCACCCACAUGGGAGACCAGGAAGAAGCACCUGGCUCCCGGCUUUGGAUGGACAUAGCGCCAGCCGUAGUGGCCACCUGGGGAGUGAACCAAUGGAGAAGACCUUUCUCUCUGUCUCUCUCUCUCUCACUGUCUAUAAUUCUACCUGUCAAAUAAAAAAAAAAGAAAAUAGUGAAUUGAAAAUAAACCUAUGAAAGUAAACCAGAACACAGCACAGAAAAAUAAUAAUAUAGAAAAUGUGAAAGAAGAGUUAAGGGAAGGAAAGUAUAGAAUGUAGAGUUCUGGAUCUGAAGAGAAAACAGCUAAGAGAUUUCCAGAAGUGAAUAAAGACAUGGGACCUCAAAGUAAAAGGGCGCACAUUACUCUGAGAAAGACAAACAAAAACAAAUUAAUGCUUAGACUUAGAGUGAAAUUGCAGGAUAAAGUAAUCAAACUUGUGAAUCAUGAGAAAAUCUUGGAAGUAACCAGAAAAAAGACAGAUUAACUUCCAAAAUGGACAAUCAACAUGAGCAUUGACUUUUCAUCAACAGAGAAGGGGUGUGUGUGUAUGUGUGUGUGUGUGUGUGUGUUUAAGUGUUCAAAGGCAAUAAGAAUACUAAGCUAAACUGUAGUCUAAAGUGAAAGCAAGCUAAAUACACUUCCAGGUUUAUUUAUAACAUUGAAAAGAAGCACAAGUUGGCCAACCAUGCACACUUUAGUUUUCUUUUGAAUUGAAAAGUUACCCAAAGUGGAGGUGAAAACUGACAAGUUCAAUAAACCUGACUUCUAGUUAAGGGAAUCUAUAACAGGCCUAGUACUGGAAAGUACUUCCUUCUUACUGUCAGCCCUACUUGUUAGUUGCCUUGUUAAGGUACCUCCUGUUAUGUAAAAGCAGACUGAAAAUAAGAACAGCUCUUAUUUCUAUGAGAAAGAGAAUGAUGGAACCAUAGAAUUUUAAACUUCAAAAUGUAAGUAAUGAAAGUUUUUCUUAAGCCAGCGCCAUGGCUCACUAGGCUAAUCCUUCGCCUGCGGCGCUGGCACCCCAGGUUCUAGUCCUGGUUGGGGCGCCGGAUUCUGUCCCGGUUGCUCCUCUUCCAGUCCAGCUCUCUGCUGUCGCCCGGGAAGGCAGUGGAGGAUGGCCCAAGUGCUUGGGCCCUGCACCCGCAUGGGAGACCAGGAGGAGGUACCUGGCUCCUGGCUUCGGAUCCAUGCAGCAUGCCAGCUGUAGCGGUCAUUUGGGGGGUGAACCAACAGAAAAGGAAGACCUUUCUCUCUGUCUCUCUAUCUCUCUCUCUCACUGUCUAACUCUGCCUGUCAAAAAAAAAAAAAGAAAAGAAAGAAAAGAAGAAUGUUUUUAUGUUUUUCUUUACCAUUUUGUGUGUAGCUAGCUGUAAACGCAAAACACUGCCUUUUCCCCAGCUGCCAUGUCUGUAUUGGAGCAGAACAGAUUAUGCAAGUGUGAUUUUUGGUAUUUUAAAUCUGGUACAAUCCACUUCUUCCUUGUCUAGGUCUGUCCUGUACAUUACAGGAAGUUUAGCACCUCUGAUGUCCACCCACAUUGCCAGUAAAUGUCCCACCCACACUAAUGAUUUUGACAACUAAAAAUUCCACCAUUUGUUUGGAGGUCCUCUCUAUUUCACUGCAGGACAAAUUGCUUUUCUUUUCCAGCUACCACCAGAAAUACCAUAAGCACGGAGGUGAUCUAAAAACAGUUCCCAUCACUUUCCUUACCCAUCCUUUUGUCACAUUGCCAUUUAAACAAAGCUGCCUGCAACCAGAACAGCAGUCUUGUGCUGAUAGGUGUUAAUUCACAAUCUCUACCCAAUUACAGCCAAUGCAAUCCACUAAAUAUAAAUAAUGUUCUCUAAUUAAUCAAGCAUUAAAGUCAGUUCAAGUUAUGAAAACUCAUGCUGCAGCAGGGAGGCCUGCACCCCUGAGACCUCCACACAGUUUCUGUUCCCUGCCCACUGCCAAACCUGUCAGGUUGUUCUCAGUUCUCAGCCCUGAUCACUUGAUACAACAGAAUACAGGAGAUGCUAGGAACUUCAAGGAAAGCUGGACUUUUUCCUGGGGUCAUACGGAAGGCUGGAAACCACUUCACAGACUGUCUUUUAAUAGAAAAGCUAAGACAUGCAUAUAGCGUAGGAUGUUGAGGUAUAAGAACUGCAAUUGGUCCUCAGUGGUUAAAGCUUCCAUUGUCUAUGGGAGAGGAUGGAGGAUGAGGCUGGAGACAGAGGCAAAAAGCUGUUUAUGAAAGACCUGCCCUGUAUAAGGAGAUUUGACUUUAUGUAAUAAGAAAUCCAGAGAAAAUGAAGGAUUUUUAAAAAGAUUUUAUUUAUUCAUUUUGAAAGAGUUACAGGGCAUGUGGGGGGAGACAGAGAGAGAUCUUCCAUCACUGGUUUACUCCCUAGUUGGCUGCAAUAGCCAGUGUGGGGCCAGGCCAAAGCAAAGAGCCAGCAGCUGCAUCCAGGUUUCCCACAUGGGUAACAGGAACCCAAAAUUUGGACCUGGGCCAUAUUCUGCUGCUUUUCCCAGGUCAUUAGCAGGGAGCUGGAUCAGAAGUGGAGCAGCCAAGACACCAACCCAUUCGGGAUGCCAGUGUUGCAGGCAGUGGCACAUCGGCCAUCCCCCAGGAUUUUAAACACAGAAAAUUCUAUGGUCUAAAUAUUUAUGUUCCUGCAAAAUUCAUUUGUUAAAACCUAAUCCUCAUUACAAUACUACAAAGGUGUGGGGGUUAUUAUGGGAUGAUUAGACCUUGAAGACUUCACCCACGUAAAUGGAAUAUGUGCCCUUACGAGAGGGGCCUAAGGAAGCUUGUUUGUCUCUUUCACCACAAGAAGACACAGUGGAGGGACCAUCUGUGAAGAAGAGGUGCUCAUCAGACAUGGACUUCCCAACCAUCCAGAACUGUUGGAAGUAAUUCCUAUUGUUUAUGAAUUACCCAAUAUAAGGUAUUUUUAUAGCAGCCAAAAAAAACUAAGAUGGAAAAUAUGGCCAACAUUUAUGAAGAAACUACCCAACCUCCACUACAAACUCAGUUCCUUCUUACCUAUCUGUCUCUGUCUCUCCGCUGCGGGGGGCGGGGGGGGGACUAUAUAUUCACCUUCCUGAUUUCCUUGCAACUUACAUGGUCACAGACCUAGUUCUUGCCAAUGUGACAUAAGAGGAGGUCAAAUGCAGAAUAUUCUAAGAUUUUCCCUCUUUUCCAAAAGGGACAGGCAUGUGAGAGGAGCUCCUUCAUCACUCUGUCCUCACCCUUGCUGGGACUCAAGCCCAGACAUUUUGAUAUGAGAUGUGAACCUCCCAAGUGGCAUUAUAACUGCUACACCAAGUGCUCAAUUCUGAUUUUUUAACAUGCAACAUGCCAUCAGGGUGUCAUCAUAAUCCUGGGUCAUUUUAAAAAUUAAAUAUGAAAUUAUGCUCACAUUCUUGUCAUACAGUAUGUGUAAUUCACAUGAAUCAUGAAAUGCUAAUGUUUCCUGGUUCCCUCUUUCCUUUCCAGGGAAGCAGUCUGCAUUCUGUUUUAGGGUUACCAGGUUUGAUCUUCCAUUUGUAGGUGUGUUCCCACUGUGGCUACCCAAGAAUUCUGCUAAUCACCACCUGGGACUCUGGCCCAUGGUCAACUCAAUAAGCAGAUGCUUUCUCCCCUGAAGCCGCCAUGUUUUUUGGUCUCUUCAGACAAGCACACACAUUGUGCAGCUACUUUCUCUGCAUGGAGAGUCAGUCAUGCUCCCCUCUUCAGUUCUCUUCACCUGGAAUGGCACUCCCCCCUGCAGCCCCGGGAACACUCCUCACCUUUGUUAUGUUCCAAGGAAACAGCAGUGAAAAGGACAUCCAGAAAUUUCAUCAUCACAAGACUGACUUCUGGUAGAGAAAGACACUACUCAGCUUCUUUGACUCUCUGCUGUCAGAACAAAUGUGUACAAAAUCCUCCAAAAGUGUGCACAUCAUCCCUUUUGAUUUCACAUGUAUCAUAGAAGUCAGGAUCUAAACCCAGGUGUUAACCGAAAAUUACGGAAGCCUGUUGUCUUGGACUGAGCUCCUCCUUGCACAAGUCCCCAACAGACCAGAUCAAACCAGAAUGGAGUAACUCAUGCUAAAUGUCAAAUAAUCAAACUGAAACUCCAAGGAAACAGAUUUCCAGACACACCAGUUUUUCUUCACAAUAGGUGAGUCCAGUCUACCUGAACCAGUGUAAUAAGGAAGUUUCCUCUGUGUUAACCUUUACCUAAAAAGUAGCCUGAUGUUAACAAUCAGGGUUGGUUUUUUUUUGUUUUUUGGUUUUUGGUUUUUUUUUUUUGCUUUGUUCUGUUUCCUUGUAUCAACCAAAUGAAACCCCAUUUUCUACUAUUGUGCAAUGGAAGCUCUUAUUCUAUUUUCUAAGGUGGUGACCUCCUCCAUUCAUGGAUGGCAAAUAAAAAUCAAUUCAAUUUAUAAGUAAAUUUGUUGUAACUUUGUCUUUUGAUGGUGGGUGGUGGUUAUCAUUAUCACUGUGGACCAGAGGCAAAUGUAUUGAUAUGUGACCCCAAAGUACAGUUAUGUGCAGGCCAUUAUUUACUUCUUUUUUUUUUAAGAUUUAUUUGCUUAUUUGAAAAUCAAAGUUAUACACAGAGAGAAGGAGAAGCAGAGAGAGAGAGAGAGAGAGAGAGAGAGAGAGCUUUUCCAUCCACAGGUUCACUAUCCAAUUGGCUGCAACAGCCAGAGCUGUGCCAAUCUGAGGCCAGGAGCUGGGAACUUCUGGGUCUCCCACGUGGGUGCAGGGGCCCAAGGAGUUGGGCCAUCUUCUUCUGCUUUCCCAGGCCAUAGCAGAGAGCUGGAUCGGAGGAGGAGCAGCCAGGACUCCAACUGAAGCCCAUAUGGGAUACCCGCGCUUCAGACUGGGGCUUUAACCAGCUGCACCACAGCACCAGCCCCUAUUAUUUACUUCUAUGACUGUACUGGUUCUACUCGGGAACUUUAUCACAUCUAUUAUUUGUUCCCCAAAACAAUGGGAUUUGAUUUUAGAUUUCAAUUUAGAGGACACAUUCUUAGAUAAUAAAAAAGAACAAAACGGAAAUGAGGAAAAGAUGUAGCUCAAGAUAAGGAUAGUUGUUUUUUUUUUUUUUUUUAAGAUUCAUUUAGUUAUUUUGAAAGGCAGAGUUAUAUAGAGAGAAGAGACAGAGAGAGAGAGAUCUUCCAUCUAGUGGUUUACUCCAGAAAUGACCACCAUGGCCUGGGCGGGGCCAGGCCAAAGCCAGGAGCUUCUUCCGGGUCUCCCAUGUGAGUGGCAGGGGCCCAAGCACUUAGGCCGUCAUCCACUGUUUCCCCUCAGGAGCAAUAGCAGGGAGCUGAUAGUGGAUUCUGGCAUUGCAGUGGUGGCUUAACUUGCUGCACCACAAUGCUGGCCCCAAGGAUAGAAUAUUUAACUGAAAAAAAAAUGAAGAAAGAAAAGGAAGACAGAGCAAUCAAGACACUUUGUCAAAUUCAACCCUGUGUGUGUUAUAUUUUCUUCAGUUUUCCCUGCCUCCCAUUUUACAGCCACUGUUAUGCUGGGGGAUUUUCAGAUUCUGAGAAGACUGGCUUCACGGUUUCGGUCUCUCCAUUCCCUACAUUCUCUACCUUUGUCCCUUCCUCCCUAUUACCCUUCAGAAAGCUUUCAAAUGGGCAGGCAUGCCUAUUAGCCUAAGCAUGAUAUUUUGAUCUAAGCAAAAAACCAGGGUGAGUAAUUGGUUACACACUGAACAGCAUAGUGCAUUUUAAACUCAGGAUUACCAGGUCUUCCUUCCCAAACACCUCCUAAAGAAAAAACAAAUUCCUCCUGGAUAGCUAGAACUCCAAUAAAUCUGCAAUCUCAUGCAUGGUGUGCCCUACAAGAAAACAGGGAAGGCUGACGACUGGUAUUUUUAAAUUAUCCAAAUAAUUACAUGGUUCUUCAUAUCAAUCCCCUAAUAUAUGCAUAGACUGAGAUAGAGGCUUGUCUGCAAUGCUACUUUUUAAUUCUGCUUAUGUGCAACUGCCGACUUUUUCUAUGCUCUUUUUCCUUUGCUAGUUUUAAAAGAAAAGUAAGCAAGGGAAAAAAAAGGCAAGAAAGAAAAAGGAAAGAUGAGUGAUUUGAUCAUCACAAACCCCAAAGCCCUGUUAAAAAGUAUUUGUACUUUAAAAAAUAUUUUUUGCUGAAAGCUUUUUCAGGAGAAAUAAAUUAUACUGACUCUAUAUAAAUAAAAACAGAAAGAGCAAAGACGAACAUGAACAUAUAUUACCAAUGCUAUUCAUCAAAUAUAGUUGACACUUCAAUCUAAUCCGGCAAAUGAAAACACAGAAGUUUAUAGAGUUAUAGGAAGUAAGCAAUUUAAACAUAGCAGGGCACAAGGUCAUCUAACAAUACAACUAGGAAGAUGUUCUUUUUUCUUUCCUCUUUUUCUCUCUUUCAUCCUUUCAAAGCUCUCGAAUACUGAUUGAUAAUCUAUCUUUCUCACAGGGCGAGGUGAUCUUUAAAUCAGAUAAUUAAUAGUAGCAGUCCAAAUGUUCCUUCCCAAGUCCACCUUCCUCUAAUGUCAUAAAAUAAAAGGACACUUCAUGCAUUUCAUGCUAUCAUUAUGGUGCAAGCUUUCUCUUUCCAUAAUAAAGUAAUACAUUUCUUAACUAAUUAGUUCAUUAAUUUUAAAUGUGAUUCACAGUAAAAACUCUUUGAGAUAGUUAAUCUUCCUUAAGAGUGUGUUAGAUUGUAAAAAACAGUUCUCUGAGCACCGUCACCACCAAUCAUUAAUGGUCUGGACAGGUGAGGAAAGACAGAGCUGUGAAAACCACAUCUCAUUUGGUUUUGAAAGCAAACCCUCCAAGGCUGCUUUAUAACCAGAAAUCAUAGCCAUGUCACGCAGAUGCUGUGGUAAACUUUACGGUUCCAAUUAGGAACGGACAGUUUUCAAUGCACUGCUCAAACACUUUGCUAGUCUAUAUGUAAAUACUUCACUAAAAUCACUGAACGGUGAUGGAGUUCAAUAUUAAUAUCGCAAAUUAAAGAUGACAUCUGAAAGUCUGCUCUCCAGAAGAGCGAUCAGAGCUCAUGGCAAGGCAAUAAUCAGCGGCUUAAGCAACGUUCAAGAGCCAUGGGGGAGAAACAAAUGUGAUGGAGCUCGGAAAUUGCACUGGUGCGUGAAGAACAUACCAUAUUAAAGAACAACUGCUGAUUGACCUGGCGAUGAAGUGGAGGAUAUGACCAUAUGCUUCCAUAAAGGACAUUUGGAAAUGGCUUCAAGAUUAUUCCCUGAGAGCUCAUGACAAUUACCUGGUGUAUUCCCAUUAAUUGACAAGGUAAACUUUAUAUGUAGCAGUGAAAUAAGCUGUCAAAAUAACUUCCUGUCCUCCUGGGAUGAAAAAAAAAUUACCUGACUAAUGAUCCCACCAACAUAUUUUCCACACAAAAAUAUCAGAGGAUUAUGCUGCCUGGAUGUCCCGUAUGUAUUGUAGUCAUUGCCUUCGAAAGGGGAGUCAUUUCAACUUCCUUACUUGGGUCAUUUGGACAGGGGAAAAUAGGUAUGGCAAAGUGGGAACCAGGAUAUAUAAAGUUCUAGGAGAGGUAGGAGAUGAAUCAAUGAAGAGUUUAUAAUCCCAGCACAGAGCCCUCUGCCUUAUUCUAAGAAUACUAUUCUGGGCCAGCAUCCUCUGGUAAAUCGUAUUUUUGGAUAUAGAAACUGAUAAUACAGCUAAUGCAAUAAAGGUAGCCCCCAGCAUGAUGCCUAAAUCCAACUGUGCAGUACCCAAGACACUGCACCACUAUUCUUUAUGUUCAGAAAGUGACAGGAAAUGAAGCCGAGCAUAGAGGUCAGUAAAUAUUUCUUCCCUGUGACAGUGGUCCUGAGAGUGAGCCCUGGGGCCUGGCUGCUAGAGUUCAAGCCCCAGCUCCCCUCCCUACCAGCUGGGUGGCCUUGGGCAAGUUACUUCAUCUCUCUGUGCUUCCCCUUUCUGCUGUAAAAUGAAGCUACCUCACAGAUCAGGGCCUGGUGUGCACUCAAUGGCUACUGCCUGUUAACUAUUACCUUCCUGGCCCUACAUCAGUCCAGGGACAUAUUUAGGGAGCAAAUGAAGAGCUGUUCAGCUGCAGUUAAUCAGUUUCCUCUCUCUGGUUCCCAAGCGAGGCAGGGACUGGGAGAGGCAGCAGUUGAGAUUCUCCCACGACUCUGGUUGUGACUGACUGGUUCCCAGUGAAGAAUCUACAGCCUGGGCUGCAACCUGGGAAGAGACCUGUGCAUCAGCCUCUCCUUUUGCUGCAUAUUCUUUGGUUCCAAGAGACUUUAGCCUGGGAAUAUUAGAAGAAAAGAAACAGGACAUGGAAGCAGCACAAAGAGAAUGCUGCUUUCUGCUGUAAUUGCUGUGAGUGCAGAGACGGCCUGUGAAGAGCAGGUGCCACAUUGGAUUGAAAUGUUCUCACCUGCACUUUUUCCAGGAGCUGGCACAAAGGGAAGGCUGUGACACGAGAGCAAUCUCUCCGUAACAAUCAUCUGCCACAACCGUACCAUCCAUAAUGGCGGUAAUAGAGAAAGCAAGCCGAGGUAAAGGCGCAUUGCCUCACCUCUCUGAGAUCAAACAAUGCUCAGAUUGAUGGAGGGGACACUUUAAUAUCUCCUGAAAAGUCCAUAUUUCUCAAUAUUGCUGAACUACCAAGACUGUUCCUAAGGUAAGGUUAAAAAAAUAAUUGUAGUUUGGGCUCCUGUUUCAAAAGAAGAACAAACCGUUAUUUAAGUUCUGUAAGAGAACAACAGAGACACUGAAUAUAGACUGUGCCUCUGACCCAUUGUGAAACAGAAGGAAAAUAACGCAAGGACUGGCUGCCCGUGAAUACCCUGCCCUGAAUUCAAGAGUGGUUGGAGUGGGUAGGACAGGCAGGAGGGAUGAUUAUUUUUUAAUGGCCACUUCAACAGAGAUGUUCAUGCUGGCAUUGUUCUUGGGAACAAAGCCUCCAUUCUGCAAGACACUUGUCACACUCCAAUUAAAAACAGAAAUCAUUGUUCAGGGGUAGUGGAAUAUCAGUUUCCUUCACCUGUAUUUUGUCUGUUGUUGAAAAUCUUACAUAAAGAAAAAGUUACAGACCAAGAAGAGCUUUUUAUAAGCUCAGAGUGCAGAAUAUUGCCACUUUAAAAAAAUAACCAUUUCUGAAAGAAAGCAGAGGUGUCAGAGACAAAGAGAAAAAGAGGGAGAUGUGUCAGUCAGUCAAUAGUAUUUAUUGAACACUCACUGUGUGGGGAGAACACAAAGGCCAUGAUGCACAUGGUACUUGGUCUCCAGGAGCUUGCAAACUAAUGAAAGGACCGGCACUAACACGAGAAAAUGCUUUCAAAAUGCACACAUAGAAGAGACGACACGACUAAUUGUAGCUUUAAAGAAUUGUGUGCCCGGUGUGUGUGUGUGUGUGUGUGUGUGUGAGAGAGAGAGAGAGAGAGAGAGAGAGACAGGUUUAAAGGCUCUUGAAAGUAAAAAAAUAGCUGUGGUAAUGAAAUCAGAGAAUAAACACCACUGAACACAGGAGAAAUGAUACAAGAAUACCAAUUAUUCUGUAGCACUUUUGUCUUUCAGUUGACUCUUCUCUGCGUGUAAAUCAGAGGUGGAAAUAUAACACAGGGUACCUCUCUUGUCAUGGGCAUGUCGGGAAACUGGCUUCUCCCCUCGUCUGAUAGCUAGCGCUUCAAAGAUAUGCAUCAUAUUCACUACUGUUCCACCUCAUGGAAGUGAUUUGACUUGAAAAUGCAAUGACAAGGAGCCAUAUUGGGGAACAGAAAUUGUUUACAUAAUUGCUUGGUCUGUUGGUGAAUCCAGGCCUUCAUUUAGAAUUCAUUAUUUUAUAAACUGCACAAAGGGAUUUCCAAGUUGUCAAGCUUGGUUUGUAAAAAAAUAAAAUAAAAAGAUAUGAUAAAAUGUCUGGCACAAGCUUUUCUGACUUUAAUUUUUUUCCCCUCUGUCCUAUUCAUCUUCCCAGUCAUAGCGGGUACUCCAUCAGCUGUGAUAGCUGCUAUUUUCUCUGGAUUUAGAUCAAACAACCUCAGAACAUCCAUCAGGGCCAUUUUUACAUCCUUUCUCCUUUGAUGCCAAACCCCAAAGAUUCCCCAUCAUGUACAGUCUGCAAGUUGUUGGACUGACAAGUAUUAGUAACCUUGGAAUGUCACCCAGACACCAGCUUUCAUCCUGGAGGAGGCUAAUGAAUUUUGCUGCAACCAACUUGGUCUUGAAAUGAUUUUUCUUUAGGUCACCUUUUAUAGUUAAAAUAGUUUGCUUUCUUAUAGUUUACUUUUUUCUGCUAAGCUAAAGUGGCAGAGAGAAUUGAGCCCAAGGACAAGAAUAUCUGGAGUACAGAAUUCUAAUACUUACUGUAGAACUGUAUAUGUUUUAAUCAUCAGGGUAAAAAUUUAAUUUCUUAGGGUAGCUUUAUCUGUUAAAUGUGACUAUAAAAGUAUAGCUUACAACUUAGGGUUUUCAAUUUUGUAAGCUUAUUAGACCCUUUAAAAUAUAUACAUACAAUACACACACAUUUAAUAAACUUUGAUCAUGUGUAUGUACACACACAUUCAUACACAUACAGACUGUUAUGUUGAAUUAACUGUGCUUUUGAUAUACCUUCAAGGAGAACAUGCAAACUCACCUAAAGCUAACUAACAUAAUAUUAAAUGAAUUUGUAUUUUCCUAGGCAUAUUAGCAUUGUCCAUGCUCUUGAACAGGAUAGUAUACACAUGUGAGACGUAUCAAUUAUCAGUGCAAUUUUGGUAAAAACAAAAUGUGCCUGGUCUUUAAAAUAACUGUAUUCUACAGGGUGCUACAGAGUUAAGAACCACUGAUCCAGGGCUAUACUACACAACAAUUAUUACUAUAAUUUAUUCAUGUAGAGAGAGGGUUAAUGGUGCCCAAAUCAGGGGUCCAAACCCAGUAUUCAUGUCUUUAUGCAAUUACUAUGCAUUGAAGACACACACAAGGUGAGUCCCUUCCUAUCCCCCCUCCAGCCACUGCCAAGAUACCCAGGGGGGCACCAGCACGUUCCAAGGGAAAGCGUCAUGUCCGAGGUUUCCAAGGUCAUUUCAGAAGACUGUCGCAUUCACUGAUGACUUUUCAGACACAUUUCACUGUGUUUGUCACAGACAGUGAGGAAUAUCCUUCGCUCCUAUUUGUGCCACACAUUAUUAUUAGGCAGAUGUCCCAACUAACCCCUUAUGAAAGCAGCUCCCUCAGCUUUUCCUGCCUCCACUGUUUUGCAAAGGUCAUGAGGAAGAUAUGAAAUGUGCCCCAACUAUCCUCUCCAGUCCCUGGCUCUUUAUACCCGCUACCCGGACUACCGCUUCUGGAGGUCAACUACACCAGUACGUCUUGAACGUAAAUGCUUAUUUCAAUCACCUGGGGAUCUUGCUAAAAUGCAAAUUCUUAUGUAGAAAUGCUACCCUAGUACCUGAGAUUCAGAACCAGGACUAGACACAAACUGUAAAAGGGUGACAAAAAAAAUCCAGCAAUCAAAAUAAAUAUUUUCAUGUGAUAUUUUGAAAAAGUAAAUUAAUAACAAAAAUAUCUGUAAAGUAUGCUGGUGCUUGUGGCACAAUAGGUUAAUCUGCCACCUGCCAUGCUUAACCCAUGUGGGUGCCAGUUCGAGUCCUGGCUGCUCCACUUCUGAUCCAGCUCCCUGCUAAUGCACCUGGGAUAGCAGUGGAAUAUGGGCCAAAUCCUUGGGUCCCUGCACCUAUGUGGGGGACCUGGAUGAAGCUCCUGGCUCCUGGCUUUGGCUGGGCCCAGCCCUGGCCUUUGUAGCCAUUUGGGGAGUGAACCAGUGGAUAGAAGAUUUCUGUCUCUCCCUCUCUCUUUGUAACUCUGGCUUUUAAAAAAAUAAAUAAAUACCCAUUAUAAAUAAAAUAUCCAAAUUUAAAUGCAGGAAUGAAGCUCCCAACUGAUGUUACCAGAUCACAUUUUUAUCAGUAAGAUUACAUAGUCAAGAAAAUUUUAGGGACUGACUUCUGGUAUAGCAGUUAAGAUGCCAGGUGGGAUGCCUGCAUUCCAUAUUAAAGUGCCUGGGUUCAAGUUCCAGUUCUGCUCCAAAUUUCAGCUUCCUGCUAAUUCAUACCCUCAGUGGCAGCUGGUAAUGGCUCAAGUCGUUGGGUCCUUGCCACCCAUGUGGAAGACCCAGACUGAGCUUUUGGUUCCUGGCUUUGGCCUGGGCCCGUCCCAGCUGUUGCAGGCAUUUGGGAAGUGAAUGUAAGGAUGGGAGAUCUCUCUCUAAUAAAUACAUAAGUAAAUAACUUUUGAAAAUUUAUUGCAUUCAUUUUAAAUAGAUUAACAGUGAAUGGUGCAAGUAUUAUUUUUCUGUUUUUAAAAAAGAUUUAUUUUAUUUAUUCAAAAGACAGAGUUACAGAGAGAGGUAGAGACACACAGAGAGAGUGGUCUUCUAUCCACUGGUUCACUCCCCAAUUGGCUGCAACAAUCAGAACUAAGCCAAUCCAUUCAGAAGCCAAGAGCUUCUUCCAGGUCUCCCACAUGGGUGCAGGGCCCCAAGGACUUGGGCCAUCUUCUGCUGCUUUCCCAGGUACAUUAGCAGGGAGCUGGAUCGGAAGUGGAGCAGCCGGGACUCGAACCGGCACCCAUAUGGGAUUCCAGCACUUCAGGCCAAGGCUUUAACUCACGCCACAGCACCGGCCCCAACAGUUUUUAAAAAUUAAAAAAUUUUUAAUUUUUAACUUACUUCAAGGGGACAUGCCCUCCCAUUUUCCAAUUAUGUAUUAAUCUGCUAAAUUGGGCAUAUGCUAGGACCACUAGUGUGUAUGCCACAUCUCAUCACAUCCUUAUAGCUGUGGAAACUUCACUCUACAGCCAUGAUUUUCAACAGGGAGGAGGGGUAAUUUUGCACCCCUAGAGAGAUUUAGCGAAGACUGCAAACAUUUUUGUUGUUACCCUAUCUGAGGGGUCUACAUGUCAGGAUGCAGCUAAACAUCAUAUAAUACACAAGAAAAUCCUGUAGCAAAGAAUUAUCUAGCCUAAAAAUGUCAAUAGCAUAGGCCGGCACCAUGGCUUACUAGGCUAAUCCUCCGCCUGCGGCGCUGGUACUCCAGGUUCUAGGCCCGGUUGGGGCACCAGAUUCUGUCCCGGUUGCUCCUCUUCCAGGCCAGCUCUCUGCUGUGGCCUGGGAAGGCAGUGGAGGAUGGCCCAAGUGCUUGGGCCCUGCACCCGCAUGGGAGACCAGGAGGAAGCACCUGGCUUCUGGCUUUGGAUUGGCACGGUGCGCCGGCCGUAGCGGCCAUUUGGGGAGUGAACCAAUGGAAGGAAGACCUUUCUCUCUGUCUCUCUCUCUCACUGUCUAACUCUGCCUGUUAAAAAAAAAAAAAAAGUCAGUAGCAUCAAAACUGAGAAGCCCUGCUAUAAAAAUAACAUACCACAGAAAAAACAUAUCCUAGAGAACAGGCAUUGUCAUAGUGUAGUUUGAACUUAUUUUUUUCUGAUUCUUAACUUUUUCUAUACACCAUCUUCCCUUACUAGGGAAAAAAGAAAAAGAAAAAACUAAAACCAGCAUUGGGGCUGCACUGUGGCACAGCAGGUAAAGCCACUGCCUGCAGUGCCGGCAUCCCAUAUGGGCACCGGUUUGAGACCCAGCUGUUCCACUUCCAAUCCAGCUCUCUUCUACGGCCUGGGAAAGCAAUAGAAGAUGGUCCAAGUGCUUGGGGCUCUGCACUUGCAUGGGAGAUCCGGAAGAAGCACCUGGCUCCUGGCUUUGGAUCAGCUUCGGCUAUUGUUGCCAUUUGGGGAGUGAACCAAUGGAUGGAAGCGUUCUCUCUCUCUCUCUCUCUCUCUCUCUCUCUCUUUCUCUCUGUCCCCCUCCUCUGCCUCUCUGUAACCAUGCCUUUCAAAUCAAUAAAUAAAUCAUUUUUAAAAAAAAGAAUUAAAAAACCCCAGCAUUCCUAUGUCUAACCCUGGUCAUCGACUUAGUGAUAGUCAAUAAAUAAUACCUCUUUAUGUAUAAAGGUACAGAAACAGGCUUUCAGCUUAGCAGCUAAGAUGCCAUGUCCCACAGAAUACUUGGGUUCUAUUCCCAGCUCUGGCUUCUGACUCUAGCUUCCUGCUAAUGCAAGGUCUGGGAGGCAGCAGUGAUGGUUCAAGUAAUUGGGUUCCCUGCUUCUCACAUGGGAAACCUGGAUUGCUUUCUUGGCUCCUUGCUUUGACUCCAGCCCAAUUCAGGCUGUUAUAGGCAUUUGGGAAUUAAACCAGCAGAUGAGAUCAAUAUAUAUUUCUAUCUCUACUUCUGCCUUUUACAUAUUUAACAAUUUUAAAAGGUUUGAUAUAAGAAAAUUAAUAUUCUGGAAUUCUUAAGGGAAAUGUCACUGGGUGAAAAAUUGAAAAGGUUAGGAAGAAUUACUACAUGUUACUAAUUUAUAGCCACUUAAACAUGCAAACCAAGAGGCUAGCAUUUGGCCCAGCCAUUAAGACACCCUCAUCCCAUAUCAGAUCACCUGGAUGUGGUAUCUGGCUCUAGCUCCUGCUCCAGCUUUCUGCUAAUGUGGACCUUGGGAGGCAGUCACAAUAGCUCAAGUGGUUGGGAUAUUCUUACACACAUGGGAGACUUGCGUUGAGUCCCCAUCUUUGACUUGAUCCAUCCCUGGCCAUUACAAUCAUUUGGAGAGUCAACCAACAGAGGAGAGCUAUUUCUCUAUCUGUUUCUCUGUCUCCAUGCCUCUCAAAUAAAUUUUUUAUAAGAAAUGUAAUAGAAAACCACUAUGAUUUUGUAGAAAUUUGGCUCCAAUAAAUAAUGUUUAACAAGUUGCAUUCUCUGGUACAAGAUUUGGAAAGCUAAACUUACACUGAAUUUUUGUAUCAACUUAGAUUUGAAGCUAAUAGAAACUCAUCCACCUUUCCAAAAAUUUUUUAUGUCAGUUGAAUCACGAUAUCAAAAACAAAGACAAAAAUGCUUAGGAAUAUCAUUCAAAUAAAAAUGAGAAUAUAUGAAUGAAUGCAAUGUCAUCUUGUUAUAGAAAGCUUAUCAGUUGUGCAUUUUCCAUACCCUAUUAGGAAUAACAGACAUAGAACUGGAUAUAGAAAUUAUGGUAUGUACAUACACUAUGGAAUACUACUCAGUGGCAAAAAAAAAAAAGUGAAAUCCUGUCUUUUGCAACAAAAUGGAUGCAACUGGAAACCAUUAUACUUAAUAAAAUAAGCCAAUCCCCAAAAGACAAAUACCAUAUGUUUUCCUUUACCUGUGAUAACUAAUAGAGUACCCAAAAUAUAAUGUAUUGGAAUGAAAUUGACAUUUUGAGAUUCAACAAUCAUUUAUAGUCCUCAUCUCUACUGUUGAGGAACAGUGUUUUUUUCUUCAUACUAUUUACUGAACUCUUUACUUGGUGUGGGUUAACCUUAGAAGUAUAAAGUAAACUGAAAGUAAAUCUUUGUAAAAAUUAAGCAUGGGAAUAGGAGAGAGAGGAGGAAGAAGGGUAGGAGUGUGGGCAGGAGGAAGGGUAGGGUAGGAAGUGUCACUAUGUUCCUAAAUCUGUAUGUGUGAAAUGCAUGAAAUUUGUAUAUAUAUCUUAAAUAAUUUUUUUAAAAAAUUCACAAAAAGAAAAAAAAUUUAUAAAAGCAAUAACAUACAUAGAACAUUACAUGGCACACUGGGAACAAAAUAGAGACUUAUAAAGAAGAUACAUUACUUUUCUAGUCAUCUUUCUUUUUUCCACACCAGAGAAAGUUGAAGAUUAGACACAUCAAAAUUAUUUUUUUAAAAAGAAUAGGAUUCCAGCUGUUUGACCAAAAGAGGCAAUGUCUGGAAUAUAUUUCAAUAAUGUAUUGCAACCAGAUGUUAGCUAGAGUUUUCUCCUUUUUAAAGAGCAAUGAAGCCUGUCCAAGAGAAACUCUUUAAUCAUCCCAUUCUCCCUUUGGAAUUAUGGAAAAUAGCCACUUGCAAAUGCUGUGAGUCUGUAUGUGUGAAUGUGUCUAACUUCUGACUUGCUGCUUCAUUUGAAAGAAAUACAUCUCUAUUUUUCUAUACCUCUUAGAUAUUCGUAAGUCUUAAAAAGGCUUGAAUAUUUUUUGAGACUGGCUUAAGUCAUCUAAAUUAUACUCUGCCAUAAUUGUGAAUGUUUUCUCUAAAACAUUCCAAGGAAUGAUGAAUUUUCUGAAUAUGUUGACAACCAUUUUAUUUUAUAGAAACACAGAAAGUAGUGAUUUUAUAUCAUUUUCAAUGACAUUUCAUAGGUAGAUGGGCAAUAAAUAAAUGUCUGUAUAUAUAUAUAUAUAUAUAUAUAUUGACAGGCAGAGUUAGACAGUGAGAGAGAGAAAGACAGUGAGAAAGGUCUUCCUUCUGUUGAUUCACCCCCCCAAAUGGCCGCCAUGGCCAGCGUGCUGCGCCGAUCCAAAGCCAGGAGCCAGGUGCCUCCUCCUGGUCUCCCAUGUGGGUGCAGGGCCCAAGCACUUGGGCCAUCCUCCACUGCACUCCCUGGCCACAGCAGAGAGCUGGACUGGAAGAGGAGCAACCGGGACAGAACCGGUGCCCCAACCGGGACUAGAACCUGGGGUGCCGACGCCGCAGGCAGAGGAUUAGCCAGUGAACCGCGGCGCCGGCCAAAAUGUCUGUAUUUUUAUAAAGCUGUUUCAACAUUGCAUAGAACAUAAAAACCUAUUCAUAAUAUUCAUGUUAGAGAAAACAUUUUCUUGCUUCAUUCAUGCGACCACAUUAAGUGAGUUCUACAGUUAAGAGAACCAUUUAUCUGGCAACUUUCUGCAGGUUACCAGUGGUCCAACACUAUGAACCAUCCAGUGAAUUUGGAACAACAUCUUGGAAGUGUGAUGGGAAUAUGAUACAGGACCUGUUUUUUUCAUCAGUAGUCUCUAGCAGGAAGUGAUAGGUUAAUCACGGGUGCCUUUGUAACUGUAUGAUACAAUAUAUAAACACAUGAACAUGUGGAGGGCUCUUUAUGAAGCGCUGAGACAUUUUAAGUGAUUCAUGGCAGGGAAACCAUGUGAAAGGAGAAUGUUUACAGUGACAUGUGGUAGGAGCCUGUAGGAUAGUCUGAUUUCCUCUGGGAAACAGAGGUUGAGACUCAGGCUUCUGGGCAGGUAGUUUAUUUUGGAAACAAGUGUGAAGGACCAAAGAGAAUAAAAGCAGGAAGGAAAGGCAAAUCAAGGGUGCAUUACUGUGUUGCUCACCACUGUGGACUGCUGGAACUUUAACAUGCUGGCAGUACUUGAGUGUCUGAAUAGAAUAGCCCACCCAAAGGACCCCAGGAAAAAGCAUUUAACAUUUGGUUCUAGAAUCUUCUUCUUUUAUUAUUUUUUUUUAAGAUUUAUUUAUUUAUUUGGAAGACAGAGUUACAGAGAGAGGUAGAGACAGAGAAAGAGGUCUUUCAUUCACUGAUUCACUCCCCACAUGGCUGCAACGGUUGGAGCUGCGUGGAGCUGCGCCAAUCUGAAGCCAGGAACAGGAGCUUCUUCCAGGUCAUGGCCCAAGGACUUGGGCCAUUUUCUACUGCUAUCCCAGUCCAUGGCAGAGAGCUGGAUCAGAAGAGGAGCAUUCGGGACUAGAAUCGGCACCCAUAUGGGAUGCUGGUGCUUCAGGCCAGGGUUUUAGCCCACUGUGCCACAGCGCUGGCCCUCUAGGAUCUUCUUGGGAUCUCCUUUUGGAGGUGUAGAGUUGUCCAUUAGGAGGUAAUUCUCCUCCCAGACCCAGGGUCAUGGGCAUCUCAGACCACAGCAUGAGAAAUUAGGGCAGGUUGUGAGCAUCAGAUGGCCAAAGUGUUGUGCACGUGUUCACAAUAGCCACAACUGCAACAGGAAACCAGAGUGAGUGGAUGUGAAGCAGUGCUGAAGAGUCUGAUAGGUCUCAAAGUUCAAGAGAUUUAGAGGUCUCAAACAAGAUUUAAGCAAAGAAGUCUUCUACAGAAAGAUUUGGUCCCCUCUGUCACAAUAAAUGUUUUCAUGAGGAAGUACCUAUCAAAAUGUCCUGGUUUUCAUUUUGUUUUUUAAUGAGCUAUCUCAUUUCCCUAGACAUUCUACUAAUAAAACUAAUUUGCUUCUUGACUGUUAUGUAAAUGAUAUAUCAUCAACUUUGAAGGAAGGAAAACUUUGUCUUAUUUUAACCUGGCUAGAUUUUAAUCCUUAUUGUUUAUACUUAAUUAUCUACAGAGACACCCUUACUUUAGGAGGAUUGAGAGGCCAGCUGUUGGGGAGAAGGAUUAGCCAAUGUAUUUUUGAAGAAUUGAUGUUUCUAUAAACAAUUUCAAGUCUCCUCAAAUUAGCACCAUUCUGAUGGUUCAUCUCAUAUAAUCCAGCCAAAAAGAUAUUGAGACUUCAACAAGAAAUAUUUGCUCACAAGCUGCCCUUCAGAAAUUGGCUACUGGCAACAGGGCCCUAGUAAUACUCCACAGACGUGUGAACUGGAGCUCCUCAGAGAAUCUGACCUCAGAUGUGGGGGAUGGGGAGUAUCAGAGAACACCUUAGGGUUGUAUUUUUGGCUUGGCAAUUAUAAUGCACACAUCCCAUUUCAGAGUACCUAGGCUUGAAUCCUGGCUCUGCUUCCAGUUCCAGCUUCCUGCUGAUAUGCAGCCUGGGAGGGACCAGGGGAUGACCUAGUUUACUUGGGUCCAUGCUACCCACAUCAGAGGCCUGGAUUAGACUUGCUUCCUGACUUUCGCCUGACUUAGCCCUGGUUGUUACAGGAAUUAGGGGAGUGAACCAACAGAUGGAAGACCUUUCUGUCUCUCUCAUCCUUUCUAAUAAAUAAAAUUAAAAAGAAAGAGAAAGAACAAGAGCAUCUUGUAGGGCAACAAUGGGAGCCAGGGUCCCCACAGGUCCUAGUCUGGCCCAGGACACCAUGAUGGGAUAGUACUGCAGCUCUGGCUCAUUCCAACCUCCAGGGGAGGACUCACGAAAGGUUGAGGAAGUUGCUCCAAAAACACAAGGGAGGAGAGCAGGAUGUGAAUGGAUCAUUCCUUGCCUGGGGACUUUUUGCCUGGGUCUAAGAGCAGCACUAUUUCUCCCAGUCACCUGCUUUUUUAGAGGCCAAGCCACUAAUAUUCUGACAGCCUAAAUACUUUUCCUUUGUGUGCUAAUGCCAAGCAUUUAUAAACCAGGUUUUUGCAGAGUAGAAGUGUGUAUAUAUAUUGGAAUCCUGUUUUUAUCUGCAAUACAACCAAGGGGCAACUCAUUAGGAGUAUUAAAAAACCAUCUUUGUGCUUUAUAUAUUACUCCCCAGACAUUCAUUCCACUUAGAAUGUACUCCUAGUUUUAAGAGAAUGGAACUUGCCUCAUUUUCAUUUGAUCUGUAAUGGAAAAUAUAGAUGACACGGCAUAUUUUCUUCUUUCCUUCAAUUUUAAAGAUGCCUCUUUAUUGUUUUAGUAUUUGGUUAGUAUCUUCUGCAACAUAUAUUUCCAUCACAGAUUCUACAGAAAACAACAUUAUCAAGGUUAUGUAGUACAGACAUGGUCACAUCUACCUUUUCUUAAGAAGACAGCAUUAAUGUUGCUGUUACUAUUGAACUGUUCUUGUUUCCAUGAGGUUAACAUAUAAAAAUGUAUUAUUCAUGAAAUGAAAUGCAUUUCAUAUAUUUCAACAAUUGUUAUUAUUGUUCUAGAGGGGGAAAUAAAUGAAAAUGGUGGCAGUUGUAGAAAUGCAUCCUUAUUCAGGACUUAAUAUACAAUACCAAUUUAGACUACGUACUUCUUCAACUUUAAACCUUCCAUUAAACUGCAAAGCUUGAUGUCAGCUAAACUCUAUAAAUGUUAAUUUAAGGUCAAGGUGCUCCUGGGAAACAUUUGAAUGCUUAGAGCGCAGCCCAAGAAAACUUCUUUUCAAAGAUUUAUGGGAUGAUAUGGCUUCUUUCUGAAAAAUAGGAACUCGGUUUCUACUUUUUCCAAUCACUUUCUAUUUCAAGCUCUAGGACACACUUUCCUUUAUGGAUCUUUCUGAAAUAUUUAAUAGCAUUCUGGAGAUGUUAAAAUGCAAAUUUUUUCCAUGUGUAAUGUAUAGUGUCUCUCCAAUUUAAACCUCAUUUAGUAAUGCCAAAUGCUUUGUAUCACAAGAAAUGAAUCAUCCAAACUCAGGAGUCUCUUCGUCCAUAAAGAUGGCCAAAACAUAGAUGCAUAAUUUUCAGUAUCCAAGUUAUCAUGAGGUAGGGUUUUUAGGCAAUAAACACUUUCCCUGAAACUAAAUCAUGUGUCAAAAUGCGUAGAAGAUUUGGUUCAAAAAGGCCUAGAGUCCACUUUCUCUGUUGCCUAAAUUAUUAUAUGAGAUAAAGUUGAGCAGGGAAGAAUCUGCAAUUGUUCCCUACUUUCAGGCUACCAACUUUGAGUAGGGAGCUGGAGUCUGUUUUUAAGGGGUAGGGUAUUUCAAGAAGAAAGAGAUUUCAGUUUAUUAUUUGCCAGGAAGCUCUAAAAUCACUUCACUCCAUACGAAAUGUGAGGUUCUGAGCAUGAGGUCUCAGAAGGAGGAGACGUUAUCACCAUAUUCCUCUCCUCCUCUCUGGGACAUGGAGUAGAGAGGACACAGUUUACUGACUAUUCUGGGAAGCCCCACUGUAGCCAGUGGUCUAGGAAGGCAGAUUUAAGUAGCACCUGAAGCAUUUAAUGUAACAUUUCCUGUAAUAUAGCGCCUCCUGGGUCAGGCAAUGAAAGGCCGGACAAUUUAUAGGCUAUCCAGACGUUGACUAGGUGGUUUGACACAACAGCUUUGUCCAGAAAGGGAUGAUGUUGAUUAGGCAGGGCAAUGGCAAUUUUCUCUAAGGAAUAUAAAGGUAGAAUUUAAAAAAAAAAAACAGGGUUGAGCAAUUAGCAGGGGAAUUGAAGGUGAAAGGACACACAGAGGCGGCCAUUUGCAGAGGCCACGAGGCAGUAACGGUUAUAAAUGAGCAGACACUCUAAUAAUGCCAGAGUCAUAAAGAAGAAAAUCAGCAGGGAGAGAGAAAUUUCUUAGAAACAACAGGAAAGAGAAUUUAAGUUGUAUUAAUCACAAAAUUCCAGAAUACAAACCUUCUUUGUGAGCCCCAGAUGUAAGACUUUUUCUAGUUCCCUGGGACACUUACCAUCUUUAUUCCCACAAGUUUUUCUUUAUACUGUCUUUAUUCCCACAAAUAAUUUCUUGCUCAUUGAGAUACUCUCAGUUCUUUGUAUAGUACUAACUAAAAGGGCAGUUUAUGGAGCUGCUGGGGAAUGCCUAAGAAGUAACUAAUGGACCCUUAUUUCCUGGAUCACAUGACAAAGUUGAAUUAUGCAGAUCUAAAAAUAAUCAUUGAUUUCCUGAGGAAAAUGCUGUCUAAGUAGCACCUCCUUUUUGAUGGGAAGGGGAACUGGAGGCUGAUGUGGAUGUGGCUUGCAACAGUAGCAAUGGAAGGAAUCCAGAUGAAUCCAGAGAAACUGCUACUAGAGACCUAAGGGAAGAAAAUCAGUCGUAGACUUCUGAUUAAUACUCCUAGUUGAUGUUGUGACUCCUAGUCAAAAUAAAAGCACAUUUUGAGGACUCUAUUGGUUGUCUGAGUAUGGUAGAAAGACACAACAGUCCUUUGGAGUCCUCACGUAAAAAAUAUGCUGCAACCAGUGCUGACCUCACAUUAGGAAAUCAUUCACUCCAGGAAAUUCUGAUCUAAAAUAACCAGAAACAAGAAGAGCCUUAUGAGAUGCUGGGAUGUGGCAGAAGGAACAGUGGGGUAGGAAUUUGGAACCCACCUGAGACUAAGAGUAUCUCAUUUUACCUCUCAGGAGUGCACAUGACUUCUAUGGGAUCAACUUUAUUCUCUAUGGUAAUUUAGGCCCAAGUUUCUUCAUGGGUAAAAUUGAGUGGUGGGAUUAGAAAAUUAAUAAGACCUUAGUUCUAAAUUCCGAAGGUCUCUCUGAUUUGACUCUGAUAUAUCCAUAGGUGAGAACUCUGAUCUCCCUGGCUACUCAGGAAUGGAAAGGAACAUUUUUAAGCUAAUAGUGUUGCAACUGUUGGGUUUAAUUAUCACGUGGUAACUUGGUGUAUAAAUAUCAAGUUUCCAAAAAGUUUUGGCCUAAUCAAAUUUAUGAGAUGUGUGAAUAUGAGAAGGUACAUAACUACCUUUUGUAAGUAAUACAAACAACAGUUUGUUAAACCAUGUCUACAAACCUGGCCCCCUGAGCUAGCCUCCAUCCUCAAUCUCCUGCCUAUUCUAUGUUCACUGUUGGAGGAAAGCCCCUCAUGGUAAUUCCCAUCUGUCUCUAGCUUUUCUGACAAGUUCAUGGUCCAAGGUGAGAAGACAUUUGCUUACAGGCAGUUAUCUUAGUUUGGGGUUCCCCUUGAAACAAACCCUGAGAUAAAGAUUUGAGUUGAUUUGGGUGCUGAUACUAGGAAACUAUGAAGGUGAGUGUGGGAGGGAGACAAGAAAGAGAAGAAAGCCAGGAAAGAUACGUUAUCAAGCCAGUCCCCCAACCUCCCUCAUGCAGCUGGAAUCAGCACUGGGGGAAACUUCAAGGAUGCAUGUCGCACCCCAGCUGAAGGGCAGUUACAUACUAACUACAGUAAGUUUUGCUUGAGGAAUGUAAAAGCAAGUCAAUUCCUCGGCACUUCCAGCCUGCCCCCAUAGGUUAAAUGAGAUCUGGCAGCAAGGAACAGCUCCAAGCAAAGAAAUGCAGGUGCUCCCUGCAGGAAGUCACUGAAGCAGUAAGGGCAAGAAGACAGGGUUGGGGAAAGACAGGGUCUCUUCCAGGAUGCUGUAACUCUUGCACUUUUAUGAGAUUGGAAAGGGAUAAACUGAAGAUCGAUUCUUCUUAAACUUGCCUAAGUGACUCGUUAUUCCACCAACUUUUAAUGUCAUAACACUUGCUAGACUUGGCCAUUCUUACUCUGAUGGAAUACUUUACAAGUCAACUGCACCUUUAAUGCUGCAAUAUGGAAUUAGAAUUUUGUCCAAUUCAGAGAAUGUUUAAAGAAACUUUCUAAGUUUUUGGAAGUUCAAAGUUCAAAAUUUUUGAAAGUGACUCCACUGAAAUGUAUAAUAUUUGAUUGUAUACUGACAAGAACAUGGAUCUUAAUUCUUCAAAUAUUGGAGUAGCAUUCAAAAGUUUACCAGCUUACUUGUGUAUUAAAUAAAUAUAUACUUGCCUUCUACAGUGUACUUGAAGCUGCGGUAGCUUCCAGGAGAACAAUGAUGAAUGAGAGAUGGCCCCCACACCCUAGGAGCUUUCCCUCCAUUAAAAGUGAUGGCAAAGGAAAUAGCUAAACACAAUACAGUGGAAUGAACUCAUUGACAAGCUAGCUGUAUACAGAGAGCGCUACAUAGCAGGUGCACAUAGAGGGAAUAUCAGGGAAUCUCGGGGUGUUGUAGAGCACAGAGAAGAAAGAGUAUGUUGAUAAGGCUAAAGGCAGAAGUGGGAAGGGUGUGUGUGUGUGUGUGUGUGUGUGUUUGUGUGCAUGUCCUUACAUGUGUGCCUCUCUUUUUUGAAUUCUGAGAGUAGAGUAGGUGGUUUCAGGCACAGACAGCUACAUGUGCAGAGGCUUGGGAAUAAAAAAGAAAUGGCAAGUCACAGGAGCUUAAGGCAGAGAACAAUCAGAGAAAAGGUUAGAGAUGGAAGUUUAGGCCAGAUUAAGGAUUUAGAUUUUAUUGAUAGAGUAGAGGAGAGUUAUUGAAGGCUUUUUAAUUCAUAUUUAUUUAUUUAUUUGAAAGAGUUACAGGGAGAGAGGGAGAGACAGAGAGAGAGAGAGAGAGAAAUCUUUUAUUUGCUGGUUCACUCUCCAAAUGGCCACAACAGCUGGGGAUGAGCCAGGAUGAAGCCAUGAGCCUGAAAUGCCAUCCACAUCUCCACGCGGCUGGCAGAGGCCCAAGUACUUGGACCGACUUCUACCUCUUUCCCAGGUGCAUUAGCAGGGAGCUAGAUCAGAAGUGGAGCAGCGGAAGGUGGCUUAACCCAUUGUCCCACAAUGCUGGCCCCAAAAGCCUUUUAGUAAGGAAACAUUAUUAUUUUGGAAAUAUUAUUCUGGCUGUAGUGUAGGUGAAAGAGUGGAAGCAGCAAAGCUGGUGGCAGGAAGACAACCCUGAGACAGCUGCAGAAGCUCGGGUGAAAGAUCUAGAGGUCUGGGCGAGUAAUCACCAUGAAAAUAAAGAAGAAGGAGCUGUGACUCGAGCUUUUCUUGGCACUCUGAGUAUAGGCUGCAGCCUUCUAUUCUGUCAUUCAACACUAUCUAUACCUCGGUAGUUGCAUUUUUUGUUACCCGUCAUAAUUGUUAACUUGUAUGUCUAAUUCCCCACUGUACAGUAACUUCCAUGAAGUGAAUAAAUGUUUAUUUUCUUCUUGUGUCUACUUUGGCAGAAGUCUGCCUGAUAUGGAGUGGUUUCCUAAAUUUUUGUUAAAGGAGAAACUGGCAUCCCUUAUAUAAUUCACCCACUUCCCUAGUUAUAUCACUUGACAACUGUAAGGAACAUAUUUAAACCAGCUUUCUAUUUAAAGCACUUCAGAGUUACCAUUUGCACUUCCAGGCUUAUAACCUAAUCCUUUCAGUGAUUCUUUGAAUUGGUUUUGAAUCCUUCACCAUCCUCCUUCUAAUUCACCUCAUGAUACUAAACCCAAGGACUGUGUACUGCCAUUUGGGGAUCUUGAAAGAGAAAAGUCAAGCUCUAGAAGCUGGUGAGACUGAAGAAUCCAGCCAGUUAGUAUUAUACUAUUGACCAAUGUCACCUGCAGCCUCUUUUCCAAAGACCUAGCAAGAGAUGAAAGCAAAGUGAAAACCCCUCAAGGAAGUGAACAGUUUUUCCACACACUCAACUAGAACCUCCUCUGUGGGGAUGGGGAGACUGUGGAGUGUGGGGAGCAACUGGGAGCAACUCGGACUAGACUAAGUUACUGGAAUUAAGACUUAUUCUAUGCAUCUGCUCUCCCACAAUAUGGCGCUGGGAGAGGAGGAAACAGCUUCUACACAGCUGCCUCCAGUUCAACCAAUAAACAGCAGGACCUGCUCCUGAUUGGAGGAGAGCAGCAUACUCGGCGUGUGGGUAGUAGAGUUGGGAUUGGUGGAAGAGGACUAUAAAGGAGGAGAGAGACAACAUGCACCAGGAACAUCUAUCUGAAGGAACACCUGUGCAGCCCCCGAGAGAGCCAGCCGGCGGUGUGCCGCUUCCCCGCGGAAGUGGGGAAAGUGGCUAGGGGGAACCGCCCUUCCAUGGAGGUGGAAGGGAUGGUAGCCAACCCGGGAAGAACCAGCAGCAAACCCGGGGAGGGCCGAGCAGACAAAAGAACAGCGCAGGGUCCUGUGUCGUUCCUCCACGAAGAGGGGGAGUGACAUAAUGGUGCCGUGACUCGGAUAUGAAGCCUAGGCAGGGUUUAGUGUCGUUCCUCCAUGAAGAGGGGGAGCGACAGUGGAGGAAAUGUCCCUGCAGCAGAGGUGGACCCAGCCCUGCCAGCAGAGGAUGAAGAAGCACAAGCACUUGAAAUGAGAGCCCAAGAGUGUGUGCACUGCAGUCCGUCCUUUAGGCUGCCAAACACAAAAUUAUCAACUUCAUUCCCACUUACAAGGUACCCAACCAUCUCCUUCCCACAGAACUAAAAUAUUUAACAUUCCUGUUAUUUUUCUGUAGAUAUACAUGUAUAGGCACAUACUUUCUGGCAGCAGUAGGAGAGAGACAGCAAUAUUGAAGAAUAAAAGUUCCAUUGUUCUGCUGCUUCUAAAGUAAAUGACGGAAAUUAUAAGCUAAUUUGCAUAUGGGAGAUUAGCAGAGUAUCCCUUUAUU